GGGGAUUUGGCUCAGUGGUAGAGCGCUUGCCUAGCAAGCACAAAGCCCUGGGUUCGGUCCCCAGCUCCG
rfam:Rattus norvegicus chromosome 20, whole genome shotgun sequence.